AACGAACGCUGGCGGCAUGCCUAACACAUGCAAGUCGAACGAGACCUUCGGGUCAAGUGGCGCACGGGUGCGUAACGCGUGGGAACCUGCCCUUAGGUUCGGAAUAACUCCCCGAAAGGGGUGCUAAUACCGGAUAAUGUCUUCGGACCAAAGAUUUAUCGCCUUUGGAUGGGCCCGCGUUGGAUUAGCUAGUUGGUAGGGUAAAAGCCUACCAAGGCGACGAUCCAUAGCUGGUCUGAGAGGAUGAUCAGCCACACUGGGACUGAGACACGGCCCAGACUCCUACGGGAGGCAGCAGUGGGGAAUAUUGGACAAUGGGCGAAAGCCUGAUCCAGCAAUGCCGCGUGAGUGAUGAAGGCCUUAGGGUUGUAAAGCUCUUUUACCCGGGAUGAUAAUGACAGUACCGGGAGAAUAAGCUCCGGCUAACUCCGUG
rnacentral:rRNA from 1 species